GGGGUUGUGGCUCAGCGGUAGAGCGCUCACCUGGAAUGUGCGAGGCUCUGGGUUCAAUCCUCAGCACCACA
rnacentral:tRNA from 1 species